rnacentral:rRNA from 1 species
CUCUCUUUAAGGAACUCUGCAAAAUAGCACCGUAUCUUCGGUAUAAGGUGUGGUUAGCUUUGUAUUAGGAUUUACUCCGAAAGCAAGGAAACUUACAACAAAGAGUCCCUCCCGACUGUUUACCAAAAACACAGCACUCUGCUAACUCGUAAGAGGAUGUAUAGGGUGUGACGCCUGCCCGGUGCUCGAAGGUUAAUUGAUGGGGUUAGCAUUAGCGAAGCUCUUGAUCGAAGCCCGAGUAAACGGCGGCCGUAACUAUAACGGUCCUAAGGUAGCGAAAUUCCUUGUCGGUUAAAUACCGACCUGCAUGAAUGGCGUAACGAGAUGGGAGCUGUCUCAAAGAGGGAUCCAGUGAAAUUGUAGUGGAGGUGAAAAUUCCUCCUACCCGCGGCAAGACGGAAAGACCCCGUGGACCUUUACUACAGCUUGACACUGCUACUUGGAUAAGAAUGUGCAGGAUAGGUGGGAGGCUUUGAGUAUAUGACGCCAGUUGUAUAUGAGCCAUUGUUGAGAUACCACUCUUUCUUAUUUGGGUAGCUAACCAGCUUGAGUUAUCCUCAAGUGGGACAAUGUCUGGUGGGUAGUUUGACUGGGGCGGUCGCCUCCCAAAUAAUAACGGAGGCUUACAAAGGUUGGCUCAGAACGGUUGGAAAUCGUUCGUAGAGUAUAAAGGUAUAAGCCAGCUUAACUGCAAGACAUACAAGUCAAGCAGAGACGAAAGUCGGUCUUAGUGAUCCGGUGGUUCUGUGUGGAAGGGCCAUCGCUCAAAGGAUAAAAGGUACCCCGGGGAUAACAGGCUGAUCUCCCCCAAGAGCUCACAUCGACGGGGAGGUUUGGCACCUCGAUGUCGGCUCAUCGCAUCCUGGGGCUGGAGCAGGUCCCAAGGGUAUGGCUGUUCGCCAUUUAAAGCGGUACGCGAGCUGGGUUCAGAACGUCGUGAGACAGUUCGGUCCCUAUCUGCCGUGGGCGUAAGAAGAUUGAAGAGAUUUGACCCUAGUACGAGAGGACCGGGUUGAACAAACCACUGGUGUAGCUGUUGUUCUGCCAAGAGCAUCGCAGCGUAGCUAAGUUUGGAAAGGAUAAACGCUGAAAGCAUCUAAGCGUGAAGCCAACUCUAAGAUGAAUCUUCUCUAAGCUCUCUAGAAGACUACUAGUUUGAUAGGCUGGGUGUGUAAUGGAUGAAAGUCCUUUAGCUGACCAGUACUAAUAGAGCGUUUGGCUUAUCUUUAAUAAAGCAU